UGGGAGGAUCAGGGCCUGAAUACCACAGGCCACAGUUAAGGAAGUUAGAUUAGUUUCACAUGGGCUACACUCCCUUCACACUUCGUUAAAAUUUCACUGCUUUGACUGCUGAAGCCUGGGUUCCAUUCCUUAGUCCCUACUCCCUCCUUUUCUCUAAACAAAACAAAACCCAGUCCGAAGGAACCCGGCUUUUUCUUCUUGUCAGUGGUUACUGAGUACACUCUGUCACACUGUUUAUCUUUGCUCCAAUGAAGACGACUAGCCCAGGGCAUCCUCACUUUGUCAGCAUCCUUUGAGUGCUCUCUGUGUGCUUUGGCGCUGGCUGAGAGGAAUACUAAGCAAUGUCACUGCAGCAAAAGGAGCCACGCAUGUGACAGAUAGCAAAGCAAGGGCUGGGGUGUAGCUCAGAGGUGGCGCGUUCCUCUAGCUGCUAGAGAAUAGAGUGUGCAAGGCCCUGGGUUCAAUCCACAGCGUUGGAAAAGAAAAACAACAAAAAACCCAAACGGCAACAAAAGCAAGCAAGAAGCUGCCUUGUGGCUUUGGAGCGUGUGGCCUGGGUUAUAACUGCUCUGUGAGACACGGGAGCCCUAAUCCAGGCUUUUGUGGUGAUUGCAUGGAUUGCUGACAUCACCAUCUAACCAGCUCCUGUACCACCAGCCUUUCCUGCCUGCAUCCCAUCGUUCAUGCUGCAACACAGAUGCUCUUCCUAAAACACAGAAGACGAAGGGUAUAUGUGCACAUGAAUGCCGAUACCUGAGGAAGCCUGAGUCGGGUAUCAGAUCCCCUGGAGUCAGCGUUACAGCGGUUGUGAGCCCCCUGGAGUCAGCGUUACAGCGGUUGUGAGCCGCCUGGAGUCAGCGUUACAGCGGUUGUGAGCCGCCUGGAGUCAGCGUUACAGCGGUUGUGAGCCCCCUGGAGUCAGCGUUACAGCGGUUGUGAGCCCCCUGGAGUGAGUCAGCGUUACAGCGGUUGUGAGCCCCCUGGAGUGAGUCAGCGUUACAGCGGUUGUGAGCCGCCUGGAGUCAGCGUUACAGCGGUUGUGAGCCGCCUGGAGUCAGCGUUA